rnacentral:lncRNA from 1 species
AUUUACAGUGGAAAGGAAAUUAGACUGACAGUUUGUGGGGGAAGGGGCCAAGUGGGAGUGGCAGUUGGAUCUUGUGACUAGCACUUCCUGCUGGGAGUGGCAGUUGGGUCUUGUGACUAGCACUUCCUUCCUGCCGGGUGGAACUUGCUGCCUGGUAUUGGAGGAGAGAGGAGCUUGUUCAGCCUGUCUGGAGUGGCAUGCUCUUCUUGGUUCAGCCUGAAGAUUCAGGCCCAUUCAUCUCUGAAGACUGCUGAGCCAGGAGUCAUGAAGAUCUUAGUUAAAUUCCACUUCAGGACAUUGAUUAGCUGUAUGACCCUAGGUCAGCAUUUCAAUGCAUCGGAAUCAUGGACAACACUUUAGAGUUGAUCAUUCUUAACCUCAUCUUCCUCAACACCUCAUCAUUGGUCACUAUUGUGUAGAUGUGGCAGAAGUGAAUCCCUGCCAGUC